AGAAAGUUUGCGGCGGUGGGACGCGGCCCCUCGGGGUCUCCUCGGUGCCCAAAGCGGGGACGUCUGCGGGCGGGCUGCCGGCGCCUCCCCUCCGCCGAGCGCUUCACGGCCCCGGCGUCGGGUUCUUAUAGGAGAGCCGGCGCAUCCUUCUGGCACGGAAGAGUUCAGAGCGCUGCUUGCGUCUUCUGUAGUUGCCCGCACGGGAGCCCCGGCUGCUCAGAUAUAAACCAGCUUUUUGGCUCAGACCUUUUCCUCUGAAGACACCUGCUUCCUGUGCAAAAUACUGAGGGCCCAGCCUAGGUGUUGAGGUUGUUGGCUUUGCUGCUCCAUCAGACUUCGGGGAGCUGCUUGUACAGUGAAGUAUUCAGUUGUGCCUGCAGUCUCCAGAGGAACACACAGCUAAGGAAGAGGAAGACCUGUGAGGAUGACAAGCUGAGGGAUGUCCAAGUGUUCAGGAAAAGAGAAUGUGGGCCUGGACCAUCCUUAUGGCCUCCGCAUAGAGAGUGCCACCUGGGAGGGCUUGCGGAGGAGGAUCCUGAUCAUGGUGUGAAGAGUGGCAGUGAGCUGGCACCUUCUGAUAUUGAGAUUCUCACUCUUAAGCCAUUUAAUUAAGCAGAAGGUGGCUGCUGUCAGAUACGGGAGCAGUGCCUAAGGAAAGGGCCCAAGGGGUGUUUUACGAGAGGGUGCAAAGAGGAGCAGGGCUCCUGCCAGAGAGCACUUUGGGGAUGAAGGAGACACCAGAGACAAGGCUCAAUCUGAGGCUACUCAGGUACUGAAGAGCAGGUACCUUUAGCCCUCACAAAGGAUAUUUUCCUGAGCUGCCAUGACUUCUGGUUGCCUGCUGUGAGAAACUGGUACCAGCCAGCUCACUUAAGCUGAUGAAAAAGUCUGAGUUAGAGUGUAUCAUCUGUGUAGAAUACGAGACAUCACCUCAACAAGUAUUACCAUCUGUCAGUUCUAGAUGCGCUUCCACAUGGAGAUUCAUGAAGCUCAUACCUUCUGGCAGUACUGUAGUCUUGGCCUUCAUGGAAGUUUCUAGGAGGUCACAGCCUUCCCUCCAGACUUAUCUUGUGAUGCACAUUGACCAGAUACACGUCUAGCAUUGAUACACAUGUGCAAUGGUUGGUGGAUGUCUAGAGACGUAUCUUCAGGCUGUGCCAGUGCUGCUGAAUUGCCCCCAAAGAGUCCUUGUUUUGAAGAAAACUGAACACUGCUUAACCUUUUGCUGCCAGUCCCUGCUGAAAUCAAGAUUAGAACAUCUGUUCUGUCCUGCCUCUAGUUGGAAAUUCUGGACAAUGGAACAACCAGAUACAUUCAUGUAUACUAAACAUUAAAGACUGAUUUACACG
rnacentral:lncRNA from 7 species